GGAGAUUCUUUAGUAGCUCAGUUGCAGAGGCGGACCCUCCGCCGGGUGCUCGAGCACCCAUUAAUUUCGUUACGGAAUAUAUAUAUAUCUACGUAGAAAUUAAUAUGUAUUUGUAUAAAAUUAACAUAGAACACCCAAUGAAUAAACGAUUUAGUUGGCCCAAUGGCUCCUGGAUGAAUACUUAGUUCGAAUCUCACUGUUAACACAUAUUUUUUAUAUUUUCAGUUUAAAUUUCUAGAUCCGCCACUGCUCAGUUGAUUGACUAUCUAAAGACAGCAAAAAUUCCUAGAUCUGUCGCUGCUCAGUUGAUUGAGUAUCUAAAUACAGCAAAUUCUUAGAUCCG
rnacentral:misc_RNA from 1 species